UUCUGCGUUACCACAGUCAUCAGAGUCCAAUUUACUCUUCAGGGGCCCUAAUCAUUCUAUACCUGAACUGGACAGAAAGAAAAUAAUUUGUUCACUUAACAGAAAGAAAGUCUAUACUCCCAAAACAAAAUGAGUCAGACAGUGAUCUUUGAAUUAACAGGCUCUGCUGACGGACUAUUUUCCCCACUUUUCAUCAGUCUGGUGACAGUGGACUCUGGACAGAGAUAAAUGAGAGGUCAAGCUACCCUUCAUUUUUCCAGAGGAUUAUUUCACCCACAGAUAAGGCACGAAGAAGGAAGUAAUAGUCAAGACCAGCCUGUGAGAAAACAACAAAAAAAGGAUAACUAACAAAAGCCCCAUUCUCCAGCUCUUGCCCCGGCCAGCGCUUCAGCACGGAGAAUAGUCCUGGACUGAGCUUCAGAAGAUCUCAGAUCACUGACGUUCUGUCUAGAAGAAUACUCCAAGAUAUAUUUCUAAGUAAUAUUCCUUCUCUUGUUGGGGGAAAUUAGAGAAGAUUUCUACCUGGUGCCAUAUCAACUCAAGGAUGGAGUCAAAUACUGAGAGGCUCUGUCAUCUGUCUUUGGAUCUCCUUCUGUGAAAAUUCUAACAAGGAGCAAACAGCAAAGAACUGAAAUGCUAUACAGACUCCAGUGAGAAAAAACUGAGGUAAUUGGUUUCGGUGUGCUGGUGCUUGAAACUCUAUCCCAGUGCUUCCUUCAACUAAGGCUGCAAAUUGAAAAUGUGAAGAACCUUGCCUGCUUGAACCAGCCUGGGCUUGUGGCAGCAUCAUUCUGUCACUUAAUUCUUCUCACAGAGAUCACAUAGCUUUGCUUCCAUACCUAAAUUACUACAAAUUUGUGUCCGCUUGAAUGUUAUGUAAUUUAACCAGAAAUUGAAGAAAUACCACCAUUUUAAAGAAAAUAUGGUCAUAAACACUAUGGAAUACUAUGCAACCAUAACAAGAAUGAAAUCAUGUCCUUUGCAGCAACAUGGAUGUAGCUGGAGGCCAUUAUCCUGGGCAAAUUUGCAGGAGCAGAAAACCAGAUACCACAUCUCACAUAAGAAUCUUUCUGUAUCUGCAAAAAUUCUUCCUGGGAUUUUGAUUGAAAUUGUGUGACACCUGUGUAUCAAAUUUGGAGGAGAUUGACAUUUUUACCAUGCUGAGCCUGUCGAACCAUGAACAUGGUCCAAUGUACUUGUAAUGUUUCUUUAAGUGAAAAAGGGAGGCAGAGGAUACAGAGAAGUAGAUGUGACUAUGGAAGCAGAGAUCAGAGUGAUGAAACUGCUAGCUGGAGCCACGUGCCAAGGAAUGGAAGCAGCCCCUAGAAGCUGGAAAAGGUGAAGAAAUGCAGUCUCCCAAAGAGCUUCCAGAAGGAAUCCAUGCCUGCCAAUGCAUUGAUUUUGGUCUCAUGAAACGUAUUUAAGACAUAUGAUCUCUAGAGUUCUGAUAAACUUGUAUUGGUUUAAGCCACUAUGUUUGUGGUCAUUUGUUACAGCAGCAAAAGGAAAUUAAUACAUUAGUGUUGUAUAAUUUUAAUAUAUAAUUUCUGUAAAUGUUUUGUUAGAUUUAUACCUACAUUUUUAUUUUUGAGGGAUUAUAAUUGUAUUUUAAGUGUUGGGGUUCAUGUGUUUAUUGCAAAUAUGUAGAAUUAAAAUUAAUUUUUGCAUAUUUUUUGUCCUAUGACCUUGCUGAUUAGUUAUUAGUUGUUAGUUUGUACAAGAUUUUUGUAGAUUCAUUGGAAUUUUCUAUGUAGAAGACAAUUGUGCCUUCCGCAAAUGGGAUGAUUUUAUAUAUUACAUCCUGAUCUGUAGUCUUUCAGCUUUCUUUAUCUUGCCCUAUUGUACUUACCAGAACUUCCAGCACUAAGUUGACUAAAAGUGGUGAGAAUUAACAUCCUGUUUCUGUACCUGAUCUUGAGGAGAAAGUAUCAAUUCUCCCCAGUCAGUAUAAUGUUAGUUGCAGCUUUUCAGCUGAUGCUUUGUAUCAAGGUGAGAAAAUUAUCCUCUAUUUCAUUAUUUGAGCUUUUAAUUAUGAAUGUAUGUUGAAUUUUAAUUAAGUCUUUUUACUUAGUAGAUUAUAUUUUUAUUUAUUUUUACAUGUUUUUGACAACACAUCUUUAUUCUUUUUUGACAAAAAAUAAUUGCACAUGUUUACAUGUAUUACAACGUAAUGUUGCCAUAUAUAUAUGUUGUGUAAUGAUAAAAUCGUGAUAAUUAGCAUAUCCAUCACUUUAAACAUGUAUUGUAUCUUUGUUUGUUUGUUUGUGAGAUAGGAUCUAGUUCUGUUGCCCAGACUGGGGUGCGGCAGCAUGAUCAUAGCUCAUUGUAGCCUCAACCUUCCUGGCUCAAGUGAUCCUCCCACCUCAGCCUCCUGAAUGGCUGGGACUACAGGUGCAUACAAACAAACCUAAGAUGGGGGCUUGCUAUGUUGCCCAGACUGAUCUUGAACUCUGCCUUAAGCAACGCUCAAGCCUCUCAUAUUGCACCUGGCCCAUUUCAUUGUUAUAAGAACAUUCAAAAACCUCUUUCCUCGCUAUUUGAAAUAUACAAUGCAUUAUUGUUAGCUACAGUCACCCUGUUGUGCUAUAAAGUAAUGGAACUUCUUAUUCUUAUCCAGCUGUAACAUUGUACCCAAUGACCAGCCCCUCCCCAUCUCCCUUUUUCUUGUAUUCUCCUAACUCUCUGGUAACAACUAUUCUACUCUGAACUUUUUUGUGAUCAAUUUUUUUAGGUAUUACAUAUGAAUGGGAUCAUGUGGCAUUUGUCUUUCUGUGCCUGGCUUAAUUUACUUAACAUAAUGUCCUUCAGGCUUAUCCAUGUUGCACAAUGACACAAUUUUAUUAUUUUGUGUGGCUGAAUAAUAUUCCAUUGUGUGUGUAUAUAUAUAUAUAUAUAUAUAUAUAUACACAUACCACAUUUUCCUUAUCCAUUUAUUAAUUGGUGGGUCUUUAAUUUGAUUCCACAUCUUGGAUAUUGUGAAUAGUCCUGCAAUAAACAUGAGAUCUCUUUUUGACAUACUGAUUGUAUUUCUUUUGGAUAUAUACCCAGUAAUGGGACUGCUGGGUGAUACGGUAGAUCUGAUUUUAAUUUUUUGAGGAAUGUCCUACUGUUUUCCAUAAAGGCUGUAUUAAUUUACAUUCCCACUAACAAUCUAUAAGGGUUCCCAUUUUUCCAUAUCCUCAACAGCAUUGUUAUUUUUUGUUUUUUUUCGUAAUAGUUAUUUUAACUGGGGUGAGGUGAUAUCACAUUGUGGUUUUGAUUUGCAUUUUCCUGAUGGUUGCUGAUGUUGAGCAUUUUUUCAUAAACUUGUUGGCCAUUUGUAUGUCUUCUUUGAAGAUAUGUCUAAACAGGUCUUUUGUCUACUUUUAUUUAUUUAUUUAUUUAUUUAUUUAUUUUGAGACAGAGUCUUGCUCUGUCUACUUUUAAAUUGAAUUAGUUGUUUUUGCCAUUGAGUUGAGUUCUUAUAAAUUCUGGGUAUUAACUCUUUGUAAGGUAUAUAACAUGGAAAUGUUUUCUCUCAUUCUAUGGUUGCUUCUUCAUGCUGUUGAUUUUUUCCUUUGCUGUGCAGAACUUUUUUAGUUUGAUGUUGUCCUAUUUGUUUAUUUUUGUUUUUGUUGAUUUUUGUUUUUGUUGUUCUUUCUUUUGAGGUCUUGUCUAAAAAAUCCAUGUCCAGACUGAUAUCAUGUAGUGUUCACCCCCUUUUUUGUAUUAAUUUUAUAGUUUGAGUCUUAUAUUUAAGAGUAGAUUAUUUCGAGUAGAUUUUUGUAUAUCAUGAGAGAUAGGGUCAAGUUUCAUUCUUUUGCAUGUGGAUAUCCAGUUUUCCCAGCACCAUUUAUUUUCCCAUUGUGUGUUCUUGGCAACUUUAUUGAAAAUCAAUUGGUUGUAAAUGCAUGGAUUUGUUUCUGAGCUUUCUAUUUUGUACCAUUGAUCUGUGUAUGUAUUUUUAUGCCAAUAUCAUGCUGUUUUGGUUACUAUAGAUUUGAUUUUAAAAUUGGGUAGUGUAAUGCCUACAGCUUUGUUCUUUUUGCUCAAGAUUGUUUUGGCUAUUUGGGGUCUUUUUUUAUUUCAUACAAAUUUUAGGAUUGUUCUUUUUUAUUUCUGUGAAGAAUGACACUGGAAUUUUUGAUAAGGACUGUAUUGAAUCUGUAGAUUGUCUUAAGCAGUAUGAACAUUUAAUAAUAUUAAUCCUUCCAAUUCAUGAGCAUCAAAUAUCUUUCCAUUAAUUUUUAUCCCCUUUAACUCAUUUAAUCAGUUUUACAGUUUUCAUUGUAGAGGUAUUUUACCUCCCUGGUUAGAUUUAUUCAUAGGUAUUUAUUUAUUUGUAGCAACUGUAAAUGGAAUUACUUUCUUCUUUUCUUUCUCAGAUAGUUCACCAUUGGUGUAUAAAAACACCACUGAUUUUUUAUAUCAAUCUUAUAUCCUGCAUUUUUACUGUAUUUGUUUAUUAGUUCUAACAGGUUUUUGGUGGAGUCUUUAGAGUAUUCUAUGUGUAAGAUUAUGUCAUCUGCAAAUAGGGACAAUUUGACUUCCUCCUCCUUUCCUAUUUGGAUGUAUUUUAUUUCUUUCUUUUGCCUAAUUGCUGUAGAAAGGACUUUCACUACUAUGUCAAGGAGUUGUGAAAAUGGGCAUCCUUGUCUUCUUCCAAAUCUUAGAGGGAAAGCUUUCAAUAAAAAAGAAAAAAACAGGCUAAUAUUGCUAAUGAACAUAGAUGCAAAAAUACUCAACAAAACACUAGCAAACAAAAGUCAAUAGCACAUUAAAAAGAUUAUUCACCAUGAACAAGUAAGAUCGAUCCCAAGGAUGCAAGAAUGGUUUAAUGUAUGCAAAUCAUAAAUGUAACGUAUUAAUAGAAUAAAGAGUAAAAAUCAUAUGACCAUCUCAAUAAGCCAGAAGAAGGAUUUGACAAAAUUUGACAUCCCUUCAUGAUAAAACCUCUCAACAAAUCAGGUACAAAUCUACCUCAACAUUUUAGAGCAAAAAUAUUGUGCAGAUAAUACUCCCCCACUCCCAUAUAAUUUCCUCUAUUAACAUUUUGCAUAGUAUAGAAUGAUGCAUUUGUUACAAUUAAUGAGCCAAUACUAUUACAUUAUUAUUAAGUGAAGUUGGUAGUUUAUAUUAAGGUUUACUUUUUUUGUGUGGUACUCUUCUAUAGGUUUUGACUAAUGCAUGCCUUAUAUCCACCACACAGCACAGUUUCAUCAUCCUAAAAAUCUCAUAUGUUCCAUCUAUUUAUCCCUCCUGUCCUCCCUGAUACCCCACCUCAACUUCUGGAAACCACAGAUCUUUUUAAGGUCUCCAUAGUUUUGCUUUUUUCAAGAUUGUCAUGCAGUUGGAAUUAUAUAAUAUGUAGCCUUUUCAUUUCACAUUGGCUUUUUAAACUUGGCAAUAUGUACAUAAUAUUCCUUCAUGUCUUUUCAUGGCUUUGUAAUUCAUUACUUAUUAUAUAAUUUUUAUUAUAUAGUUCAUUAAUAUUAUCUACAAUUAUAUUCAAUUUUAUGGAUGUACUAGAGUUUAUUCAUCUACUAAAAAAUAUUUUGGUUAGCUUUCAGAUUCUGGUGAUUAAGAAUAAAACUGAUGUAAACAUUCAUACGCAAGUUUUUAUGUGGACAUAAGUUUUCAACUCAUCAGGAUAAUUAUCUAAGUAGGCAAUUGCUGGGUUGUGUGGUAAGACUAUGUUUAGUUUCAUAUGAAACCACCAAAUGAUCUCCUAAAUUAGCUGUACAAUUUUGCAUUACUGCUAGCAAUGAAGGAGAGUUCCUAUUGUUCCACAUCCUUAACAGCAUUUAGUAUUGUCAGUUUUUGGAUUUUUAUUCAUUCUAAUGCUUGCAUAAUGGUAUUUCAUUGUUGUUUUAAUUUGCAAUUCUCUAAUGACUUAUAAUGUUUUGGGUUUAUUUUUUAGUCACUUACUAGGUUUUUGAGGUGAAAGCUCACAUUAUUGUUUUGAGCCUUUUCAAACUCUUUUCUAAUGUAUGCACUUAGUGCUAUAAUUUUUCCUCUCAGCAUGGCUUUCACUGUGUUCUACACAUUUUGACAUGUUUUAACUUUCAUUCAAUUUGAUGUAUUUUUUUCUUUCUCUUGAUAAUUCCUUUUUGACUCAUGGAUUAUUUAGUAAUAGGUUGUCUUGUUGCCAAGUGUGAAGAGAUAUUUUUGGUUUUAUUUCUAUUAGUGAUUUCUAAUUUGAUACCAUUAUGUUUGGAAGACAUUCUCUGCAUGAUCUCAAAUCUUUUCUAUUUGUUGAGGUCUGUCUUAUGGCCCAGAAUAUGGCUGAUUUUGGUACUUGUUCCAUGGACAUUUGAAAAUAAUGUGUAUUCUGCUGAUGUUGAGUGGAAUUUUUAUAAAUGUUAUUUAGAUUCUGUUGGUUGAUGGUAUUGUUGGGUUCUUAUCUCCAUGUUGAUUUUAUGUCUAGUUUUUCUAUCGAUUGUUGAGAGAAGUAUGAAGUCUUUAUCCAUCAUUGUGGAUAUGUCUGUGUCUCUUUUUCUUUAUUUCAGUUUUUGCUUCACAUGUUUUCAAUUACAUUACUUGGUGCAUGCUCCAUCUACCAUUGCAAUGUCUUUGUGGUGGACUGACACUUUUGUCAUUAUACACUAUUCCUCUCUCUCUCUGGUAAUUUCUUUGCUACAAAAUCUACUUUACUGGAAUUAAUUUAGUCAUUUCUAUUUUUGUCUGAUUCAUGACUGAAUUUUAUAUUUUUCUACUACUCUUUUAAUUUCAGCCUGCCUGUAUCAUUAUAUUUGAAGAGUUUUUAAUAUUCUGUAAUUGUCAUGAUUUUAAAAUCCAUUUGCCACUCUUUUUUAAUUAGUGAUUUUAGAACAUCUGCAUUUAAUUAGUUAUCGAUGUGCUAGUAUUUAGAUCUGCAUUUUAUUUUAGGCUUUAUUUCUGCUCCCUACUUUUCCUUUCAAUAUCUUCUUUUUUCCUAUCCUGCUGUGGGUUAAUUGAACAUUUUUUAUAAUUUUUUUUUUUUUUUUUUUGGAGAUACAAUCUUGCUCUGUCACCCAGGUUAGAGUGCAGUGGUGCGAUCUCGGCUCAUUGCAACCUCUGCCUCAGGGAUUCAAGCAAUAAUGCCUCAGUCUCCCGAGUAGCUGGGAUUACAGGCAUGUGCCACCAUGCUCAGCUAAUUUUUCUAUUUUUAGUAGAGACAGAGUUUCACCAUGCUGCCCAGGCUGGUCACUAUAAUUUCAUUUGGAUUUACCUAUAGUGUUUUGAAUGUAUCUUUCAUAUAACUUGUUUCACUAUAGGUAUUACAUUAUACAAACAUAUCUCAGAGAUAUUGCAGGUUGAGUUCCAGACCACCACAAUAAAGCAAAUAUGGCAAUAAAGUGAGUUACACAAAUUUCUGAUUUCCCAGCACAUGUAAAAGUUAUAUUUAUACCAUACUAUGAAGUGUGCAAUAGCAUAUUUCUAAAAACAUGUACAUACCUCAGUUACAAAACACUUUAUUGCUAAAAAGUGCUGAUACAAAGACACUAAGUGAGCACAUGCUGUUAAGAAAACAGCACCCAUAGAUGUGCGUAAUGCAGAGUUGCCACAAACCUCCAAUUUGUAAAAAACAUCAUAUCUGCAAAGCACCAUAAAGCGAAGUGCGGUAAAAUGGGUACGCCUGAAUAUACAAUUUUCUAUACAUAAACUUAUUACAAGGUGCUGAUGUCAUUUUUUUUCAGUUGAAGUGAAAUAUAUAAUCCUUACCUCUUUUCUAUGCCCCUUUACUGUCCCAUGUUUAUAUAAUAAUAGUUCUAAAUAUUAUCUCUACAUAAAUUUAGAAUAAAAUCAGUGUUAUAAUUUUGACUUAACGAUCAAACAUAAUUUAGAAAACCCCAAAGGAGAAGGAAAUCCCAUUUUAUUUACCUUAUUUUUUUCUGUUUUCUUCCUUUCCUGGUGUCUUUCUUUUGUUUUCCUUCUGUUUAGAGAACUUUCUUUAGGUAUACUUUUUGGAUAGGAUAGUAAAUUAUCUUACUUUUUCUUCAGCUUAAGAAUAUUAUGAUUUCCCUUUCACUUUGGUUAUAGGAUUGAAUAUUCAGGGUAUAGGAUUGUUGAUAUGGUUUGUUUCUGUCUCCCACCCAAAUCUCAUGUUGAAUUGUAAUCCGCAGUGUUGGAGGAGGGCCCUGGUGGGAGGUGAUUGAAUCAUGGGGGUGGUUUCCAAUGGUUUCGCACCAUCCCCCAGUGCUGUCUUGUGAUAGAGUUCUAACAAGAUCUGGUUGUUUAAAAGUGUGUGGCACGUUCCCCUUCACUCUUUUUCUCUCCUGUUCUGCCAUAUGAAGAUGUGUCUGCUUCCCCUUCGCCUUCUGCUUUGAUCCUAAGUUUACUGAGGCCUCCUGAGUCACACCUCCUGUACAGCCUGCAGAACUAUGAGCCAAUUAAAGCUCUUUUCUUCAUAAAUUACCCAGUCUCAGGUAGUUCUUUAUAGCAAUGUGAGAAUGGACUAAUGCAAUUGUGAAACUAGGAUUUCAUCCUGGGUAGAGGAUUGUCAGCCUAGGUUGAGAGCUCUUUUCUUUUGACACCUGAAAAAUAUCGUGCCACUUCCAUCUCUCCUCUGUGGUUUCUGAUGAGAAAUCUGUCAUUUUAAUUGCUUUUCUCGUAUUGGUCAAGUGUCUUUUCUCUGAUUGCUUUCAAAAUUUUUUCUUUGUUUCUAGUUCUCAGAUGUUUAAUUACAAGGGAACUUGGUGUGAAUAUCUUUGUGAUUACCCUGUUUAGGGUUCAUUCAUAUUUAUUCAUAUUCUGUAGGUUUAUGUCUCUAAUGAAAUUGGUAGAUUUUAGAUGCUAUUUUUUGGUGUACAUUUUUAUUUUUUAUAUAUUUAUGUAUUUAUUCAACUUUUAUUUUAGAUUCAGGGUGUAUAUGUGCAGGUUUGUUACAUGGGCAGUGUAGUACUGGGGUUUGGUGUACAAAUGAUUCCAUCAUCCAGGCAGUGAGCAAGAUACCCAAUCGGUAGUUUUAUGACCCUCACUCUCCUCCCAGUCUCCCCCUCCAAGUAGUCCUCAGUGUCUAUUGUUCUCAUCUUUGUGACCAUGUGUACUUGGAGCACAUUUUUAGACCCACUCUAUUUCUCUUCUUCCAGGUCUUUGCUAGAUAUUUUGUUAUAGUCCACAGAUCUUGGAGGCUCUGUUCAUUUUCUUUUCCUUUAUCCUCUCUGUUGUUUAGAUUAUGUGAUUUUUCUUCUUCUAUCUUAAAGCUACCUGUUUUCUUCUUCUGUCUCUUCUAUUCUGCUGUUGAUAUCAUCCAUUAAGCUUUCACUUAAGUUAUUACAUUUUUCUGUUCUAAAAUGUCCAGUGGUUCUUCUUUGUGUCUUAUAUAUCUGUGCUGAAACUCUGUUUUUUAAAUUUGUUUCAAGCAUGUUUUGAUUGUUGAAGUAUUUUUACCACAGUUGCUCUACAAUCUCUGUCAGAUUAUUUUAAUAGCUCUGCCUUCUCACUAUUGGCAUAUAAUGAAUUUACUUUUUAUCCUUUUUGAAAUUUUCCUUGUUAUUUGUAUGACAAGCAAUUUUUGAUUGAAACCUGGUCACAUUCAUAUUACGUUAAGAGUCUUUGGAUCUUAUUCAAACUUUAUCCUCCAGCUGCUUUUUUAGGCACUGCUUUGAAAGGGGGAAAAGUGGCUCAACACAGCUUUCUACUGGAAGGUAGAAUUCACUUCCAGAUCCUUCACUUCUCCUCCACUGACACCUGACUCUGCUGAGAGAAGCAGGUCUUAAUAACUACUGGGCAUAGAUAUUUGUGCUGCCUCUCCAUGUGAUCUCUAUUGACACCAUAGUGGUGGUGGCCUUGUUACUAAUUAGUGGUAGUGAAUGUCCUCACUUCCCACUGGGAUCCUCUGAUGCCAUUCCAUCAGGGAAAGAAGGGCUGCCUCGUCACUGCCAGGUAGCAUGAAAGUCCAAGUUCCCCAUAUGGUCUCCAUUUACACUGCAGUAGACUCUUGUUACUGGCUAACAGAAAUGAAAGUUUUGGCUCCCUUUUCCAUGUCCUCUGACACCACUCCUGUAGGGGUAUUGCGGGCACCUAUUUACAGCUUUGUGAGGGUGGCAGUUUAGACUCCCCACUUGGGCUUUGUUAGCAUGAGUGAAAAUGAGGCCACAAGUUUUUUUUGUUUGUUUGUUUAGUUUUGUUUUCUGGAUGUGGUUGGAGUAGAGCAGUUACAGCCUGAAAGUUUUCUGCCUUGAUAGUCUGCCCCUUUUCUGCUCCUUUGCUAGAGAUGGCAAUCUUUCAUUGCAGCUUUUUCUCCAUCCAAUGUUGUUUCUGGAUUGCUGAUUUUUCAUCUCCAAGUCUGAGAUAUAUGAUGGAAAAGAAAACCCAGGAAACCCACCACCAUGUUGUUCUUUGAGACCAAGGUCCCUGGCUUGUCUACCUUUUCUCCAUACUGCAAAGUCUUCUCUUUUUUUUCUUUUAUUUUAGGUGGGGGAGGUUAAAAUAUAUACAGUGUCCAGAAAUUUAGUUGAACUUAGCUGUUGGAGGAGGGAAAGUUCUUCUGUAUCUUUCCUGAUGCUACUUGGUCUAAUCAGAAAUGUUGCAGAAUUAAGGGAAGUUUUAUUUUGUUUUGUUUUGUUUUUUGACAGAGUCUCGCUCUGUCCCCAGGCUGGAGUGCAGUGGCGUGAUCUUGGCUCACUGCAAACUCCACCUCCUGGGUUCAAGUGAUUCUUCUGCCUCAGUCUCCCGAGUAGCUGGGACGACAGGCGUGUGCACCACCACACCUAGCUAAGUCAUCGAGACCUGGUAUUACAAUUUUUAUUAUUUGAUUACCACUUUGAGAUUUUUUUUCUUCUGAGAUGGUACUUAGUUUGAAGGAACUUUUAUACAUUAAGGUUAUUAGCUCUUUUGCCUUAUGCAAGCAAAUAUUUUCUGAAAAUUUUUAUUUGAUAUUAGUUUUAUAUAAGGCAUUUUUUGAGUCACAUAAAUUUUAGAACUCUCUACGGGAAAAUCUCUAUAAUAGUCAUCCUUUAUGAAUUAUUCCAUUGUUUUGAACUAAUAUAUUUUAUGACCAUUUUGUAAUUCAAUAAAUUUUUAUGGAUAUUUUUUCUAUUUUUUUCUUUUUUGACUUAUUGGUUUGAUUAACUUUUACAUUUAAUAUUUUAAUCCAUGUAGAAUAUAUUUGGUUGUAUAAUGGAGAUAAAGCUAUAUUUGAUUUUCUUCACAUAGUUAACAAACUGUGCCAUUAUCAUUAUUAUUAAAUAAUCUUGCCUUUCUUUAGAGUCAAAAAUUAGCUCCAUGUACUUGGUUUCCUUGAUCUGAUGCUGUUUUUCUGACAGACUUUUCUGCUUUGAGAUUUCUGAUAAGGUCACUGCUCCAUUUAACUAGAAGCCUUGAUCUCUUAUCUUCAAGACUUGUUUUGUCAACAAAGAAGAUCCUAUCUCCAACAGUUCAUUUAUUUCUAAUGCACACAAAUCUUGCUUCCUCCAUGGGGCAGCUGACCUCCUGGGGAUAAAAAAGGAAAGACAACUAUUUAUUUUUCUUCCUUUAAGAACGGCAUUAACCAUUAUUCUGGAGAUGUAUAUUGUGCCUAUGGUGGAGAAUACAGAAGAUAAAAUGGUGGGAGGAAUAUGAGUUUUGAAACAGAAGGGAUUAAGAAGAGUCCUUUCUAAUUCAUCAAGAUAUGAAUUCUGAAACCUUAUUUCAUUUUAUUUGUCUCUUAACUAAAUUUGAUAUUAAAUACAGUAACUAUAAACUUUCAAUUAUUUCACUGAAGAGUAAUCGUCUUUGGAAUAAAACAAUUCUGAUAUUGAAGCUAACAGGUAUUUGCCAUGUGGAAGUUGCAUGUCCAAAGGGAUAUAUUAGAAUAAUAAUGCUUACUUCAUAGUUUUGUUAUGAGGAAUAAAUUUUUAAAAUGACCAUUUAGGUGAAUAUAUCAAUCAUGGAACCUUGCCACAUACUGAGUGAUUAAUAGUUAUUGAAUUGCCUUUUGAUGUCUUUUCUGAAAAAUUAAAAUGUGGAUUAUGUAAUAAUGUUUUAAAUCCAUAUCAUUUGUUGAGUAAUUACUAUAUGCCAGAUAGAUUGCAAUUUUUUUUCAAUAUUUUUAUGACAUCUCUGUGCAUGAACUAGGCACUAUUUUAAAUACCAUUUUGCAGAAAAGCAAAUUAGGGCAGCAAGAGGUGAACUCUCUAACGUAGAGUUAUAUAACUUGUACAUAGGAGGACUCGCAUGCGAAUCCAAGGUCUGACAGAUGCCAACUCCAGAUCUCUCAUUCUUAAACUCCAUGUUACUUGGUCUAAUCAGAAAUGUUGCAGAAUUAAGGGCAGUUUUGUUUUGUUUUGUUUUGUUUUGUUUUGUUUUGUUUUGUUUUUUGACAGAGUCUCGCUCUGUCCGCAGGCUGGAGUGCAGUGGCAUGAUCUUGGCUCACUGCAACCUCCACCUCCUGGGUUCAAGUGAUGUGAUUCUCCUGCCUUAGCCUCCCCAGCAGUUGGGACGACAGGCGCGUGCACCACCACGCCUAGCUAAUUUUUGUAUUUUUAGUAGAGAUGGGGUUUUACUAUGUUGGCCAGGAUGGUCUCGAUCUCUUGACCUCGUGAUCCACCUGCCUUGGCCUCCCAAAGGGCUGGGAUUACGGGCAUGAGCCAAGGGCAGUUUUAACAAACUAAACCAGAGCUUCCUCUGCUGAUUUAAUUUCACUUUUGCAAAUAUAUGUAAAGCAUUAAGUGUCAACUGCUAACAUUUGUCUUUGCCUGUGUAUUUCUGGUGUGCUAAUGUACCCAUAAGUCAUCUAUUUAGCUAAAGAAAACUGAGGAGAAUUCUUGGGAAAAGGUCAAUAGACUGAAAAAAAAAAAGACAGUCAAGGAUGUAUAGACUGAAAAUCAGAAGAGCGGCUAUUUUGGAAAGGAAUAGGGACUAUGCUAUUCAAGGAUACUGGUUUAACAUUUCAUGGCUUGCAUCUGAAAAUGAAGAAAAAGGGAUUUGUACCCUCAAAUGAGAAUACCUGGAGUCAACAUGCUAUCAUAAAACAAUGGUAGGUAGGCAUUGCUUGUCACACUAGCACUGAAGGCAGUGUGCUUUGUACCCUGUAUAGCAUGGGGAGUCUCCUGGCAGAGGCAGCAGUGACAAGUGGAAGUGAUAAGCAUGUUUGCAAAGUACUAUGAUCAGAGGAUGUAAAGCAGAAUGGGAAGACAUACCUGGGUGCCGUAGGAGAGCUGAUGGAAUCUAUUUGUGAGCACACAUUAAACAUCCUGUGAAAUGGGCUGGGUUCUCCCUUAAGAGGUGGCAAGUGGCAGAAAAAUAUGAUACAUGUGUUAGUUUGGUCAAAUUUGAAACUUUUCUUUACAGCAGAUAAUAGCUGAUGAUGUUGCCUUUGAGGACCAGCGUUCAGGAUAAUCAUUUGUUUUUUUUUAGAGUAAAACUAGGUCCAGCCAGUAACUCUAUUUCAACUGAAGUAGUGUUUUUAAUUGAGUGUGUGAUUUGGGGUACUUCAAAGCUCUUAGAGCCAUCUAAAUUACUAUUAAUCUAUCUCACAUGAAUUUAUUCUAUAAAAUUAAUUACACAUGCAAACACGCAUAUAUUCGGCUAGAAUUUUCACUGAGAUAUAGCUUUGAAAAUGAUCAGAAUGUUUGACUUCUGUAGCUCCUCAUGCUGGACUAGGCAAUUUGCAAGAAAGGGAUUAAUUCACUGAUUAGCUUGCUGCUUAGAUGUGGAAACAGGCUAUUUUAUUCCUACGAAUUUUUUCCAGAAACUAUUUUUUUUCCCUAAAACCAUUAAAUCCUUUCUCUUUGCUUAGUUGUAAGUUUAGGAAGCAGGUCAGUUCUUGUUUUCAGAAGAGCUAAAGAAAAGAAAAGGAAACUGUCUUUAACUUAACAUUACAAGUGCUUAAUGGUUUAAUGCGAUCUUACUUUACAAGCUCAUUUUUAAAUAGUUUACUACAGGAGGAUGUGGGAAGACAUAAUCUUAAUUCAAGAACAAAGAUUUAAACAAUAAACUAUGGUAAAAACAAAAUGUAAAAUCUUUUUUUUUUCAUAACUAGAAAGCAUUUUGGGCAGGCAGAAUAAGUUGUGAGUUUGCACGGGCUGUGGGACUAGUUGCCUUGGUUCCAAUUCAGGCUUCACUCCUCAUUAUCUGUGAGAGUUUUAGACAAGUUAUUUAAUCUUUUUGCAUCUCAUCAAUAAAAUGGGAUAUCAAUUUUGUGGAAAAAAUAAGACUAAAUGAGACUCUAAGGAGUACCUUUGUGGAGCUGUGCUGCCUGACACAUAGCAAGUGCUCAGUAAGUAUUAACUAUUACUAUGCAGUUCAAGCUCUUCCUUCUGCAGACUGAGAGGCUGAUCCAGAGGAAUAACCCAAUUUGGAAGAGCUGGGACGACAGUUUUCAUUUUGCUAUUUUUAGUUUACCUAAGAGGGCAGCUGAAGACUAUCAGAGCAAAUACUUCCCACUCAGGAAAAUGAAUUCUGUGUUACCAAAAAGGAAGAAUUAUUUAAUCUAAAAAUUAACGUGAAAUAUGUCUGAUUUUUAGGCAUCCGGAAAUCUAGAAUAGACAAAUGUUUGAGAAUGAGAUUUUUUUUUGCACAUGCAUCUUUCUGCUUGACAAUUUUAAGAAAUCAAAUGUGAAAAUCCACUGUACUUUGAUCAUAUAGAUUACACAUAAGAACAUAAACUACAUAUUCAAAAAGGAGAAACAUUUAUAACUCCUGAAAAUGCUUGAUGUACUAUUAUAUCUGUCAACAUAGUAUCCAGUUCUAGAUAAACAAUUCCACCCAGAUUUUCUGGGUAAUACUAUUUAAUCUAAUUGUAAUCUUUGCACCAAAAGCAACAUAUUGUCAAAUACGGUUUGGAGUUUAAACUGAGAUAAAGUUCUUUCAAUGAUCAGGGGAACAUAAACUGUUAAAACUACUUUUUUUUUAAUUUGGAAAAUAAAAUCAGAGAUAGCUCUUCAUGCUCAGCAAGCAUGUGUUGGUCAUUCUUUCUAUACACAUUAUAUUCCUUAAAAAAACAGAACACGCUGCAUGAAUAGACCUUUCCACAGGGCCUCAAUUUUAAUUUUCCUGAGUUGGGAGAAGCAACAUCCAUCAAGUUCCCUGAACUGUUGGGAAUAAUGCUGUUUUUGUCACACACAGGAUCCAUUUUGGCCCAAAUAUACCCACUGACUUUAGACUAUAGGCUUGCAGAUCUUUCAGCACAAUGCUGUAUUACAAAUUGUCCCUUUAGCAAGAUGACUUCAUUUUAGCAGCCUGUUCUGGUUUCUGUAUUCUUCCAGGUUUCACAGUUCAGUGCAGUCAUACAAGGUGAUGGCAUUUUUAAGGCUCUAUAUUUAUUGGUCUACAAAUGAAGGUAGGUGGCCAGGUGCUAUUUCAGGGGUUCAUCUGGCAACCUGGUGUUAAAUUUGAGUACCUUUAGACUAAGGGAGUUGUGAUUUUAAUACUGGAAACAUAAAUAUUGCCAUUUAUGGAAAUGGCUGCUGUAACAGGAAGUGAUCUCAUAAAUCAUUAGAUGAAAUAAGAUUAUAAGAAGGUCUAAAUUUAAUCUGAAAGAUCGUUAAAACCUGGGACAUAUUAUUUCUAAAAAAUUGGUUUAUUAGAAUCCAUGCAACCCCUAUUUGCAGUUUAAACCUUUUAUUUAUUGGAUGCUAACUAAACCUUAUACUUUAAUUAUUUCCAACAUUACUCGGACAUUAUCUAAUGUCCUAUGAAGACAAAAUCACAUCUGAAACACAUACAUAAACAGUGUACGGCCUAUAAACAGUCAUAACUGUUCUUUAAGUUUUAUCUUUUGUCCAGGAAAAAAUUUUGCCCCCAAAUGGACCAUGUCUAUGUAUGAAAAGAGAGAGUCACUUGAAAGAUUAUGGUCAUUAGAGAUAGGCUGAAGAAGGAUCACCUGGAGUCACAGGACUUGAAAGCAAUUCCCAGCACAAUGAGUAAGAGCUGUAUGAACAAGAGAAAACUGUUAAGCUUUUCUUAUCUUUCAUUUCACCCUCUGUAAAAUAGCAGCAACAGUAGCAUCUGCUCAUAAGCUAUUUAUCUGCUCUUCUUCCAUCCCAAAUACUCUUCUAAGUCCUUUGUGAAUGUCCUUUAUGUUAUGCAAAAAUUAUAUAAAAAUAGAUAUAUUAAAUGUGCAGCCUGGGCAUGGUGGCUCAUGCCUGUAAUCCCAGCACUGUGGGAGGCCGAGGUGGGUGAAUCACUGGGAGUUCGAGACCAGCCUGGCCAACAUGGUGAAACCCUGUCUCUACCAAAAAUACAAAAUUAGCCAGGUGUGGUGGCACAUGCUUGUAGUCCCAACUACUCGGAGACUGAGACAGGAGAAUCACUUGAAUCUGGGAGGCAGAGGCUGCAGUGAGCCGAGAUCUUGCCACUGCACUCCAGCCUGGGUGAGACAGAGUGAGACUCGUCUCAAAAUAAAUAAAUAAAUAAAUAAAUAAAUAAAUAAACAAACAAACAAACAAAUAAAUGUCCAAUAAAUACAUAUAUUUCAGUAUAUAAUUUGAAAUGUAUAUGACCAACUGUAACCAAAAACCGAAUGUCUAUACAAAAGAGACUGUUUAUACAAAACUUGCUAUUUUGUAUAUUGUUCUCUGCUUCAUCUCAGUGAUUUUAGAGUUUUUAUGUUAAAGUUAAUAAUUAAACUCUCUCAUCUGUUACUUUUAUAAUCUUCUGCUUUGUUAUUUGAAGGAGUGAAACACAUUCUGUGUGGGGAUGUAUUUUCAAAUGCAGAGUUGGACCUACAAUUAAGAAUUAAUAAACU
rnacentral:lncRNA from 10 species